rnacentral:rRNA from 1 species
UACGUAGGGUGCAAGCGUUGUUCGGAAUUACUGGGCGUAAAGGGCUCGUAGGCGGCCAACUAAGUCCGACGUGAAAUCCCAAAGCUUAACUUUGGAACUGCGUCGGAUACUGGAUGGCUUGAAUUCGGGAGAGGGAUGCAGAAUUCCAGGUGUAGCGGUGAAAUGCGUAGAUAUCUGGAGGAAUACCGGUGGCGAAGGCGGCAUCCUGGACCGACAUUGACGCUGAUGAGCGAAAGCUAGGGGAGCAAACGGG